GGAAACCUUGGGCUUGACUGAACAAGCUUGUGAGCGAGACCUGCACCGCGAGACUAGAACAACUCGAGACGUUCAACAGAUGAUUCAAGAAGGUUCGUCGUUCGGGGAGGACCCGGAGCGAAAUGACUACUACUGAGCCUUCGACGUGGACCCGGACUUCAUGGAAGAUCAGAUGAGGGUCGAAGAUAGUGGUGUAGGAUAUGGGUGGUUAGAGUUACUGAUUUUGGUUGUCAUGGUCAUAGCUCUGAUUCAUCAGUUGUAUUUUGGGGCAGGGUAGGUUCCCGACUAUUAGCUUUUUGUGUGAUUCUCUUCCAUGAGGAUCACAGGGAGUUUGUCGGGCGUAGGAAGUCUUUUGGAAGCCGUUUUGGGCUGACUUACUUUUCGGAGGACUGUAUUUAUAAAACUUAUGACUCUAUUUAUGAGUCGCACUUGUUUGCCGUUGGGCAAUACUUUUAGUUACUUGAUGUUACUUUCCGUCACUUGAGGACACUCGUGACGAUGUUUUUAGUUACAGCAAGGGUGUGCUUGUAUUGUAUAUUAAUCGCUGUUAAUCGCGAUUGGGAUGAGACCUGAUUUCGACAAGUCUUUUUAUUUAAACAAAAGAAAAAAAAAAAUACCUGCUUUUCCGCUUUAUUUUA